rnacentral:rRNA from 1 species
ACACUGGGACUGAGACACUGCCCAGACUCCUACGGGAGGCCGCAGUCGAGAAUCUUCGGCAAUGGGCGCAAGCCUGACCGAGCGACGCCGCGUGGAGGACGAAGGCCUUCGGGUUGUAAAGCUCUGUGGGGAGGGACGAAAGACUGAGGUCUAAUAGGCUUCAGGUUGACGGUACCUCCUUAGCAAGCACCGGCUAACUCCGUGCCAGCAGCCGCGGUAAUACGGAGGGGGCUAGCGUUGUUCGGAAUUACUGGGCGUAAAGCGCACGUAGGCGGCUUUGUAAGUUAGAGGUGAAAGCCCGGGGCUCAACCCCGGAAUUGCCUUUAAGACUGCAUCGCUUGAACGUCGGAGAGGUGAGUGGAAUUCCGAGUGUAGAGGUGAAAUUCGUAGAUAUUCCGGAAGAACACCAUUGCCAAGGCGGCUCACUGGACGACUGUUGACGCUGAGGUGCGAAAGCGUGGGGAGCAAACAGAUUAGAUACCCUGCUAGUCCACGCCGUAAACGAUGAUAACUAGCUGUCUGGGCUCUUGGAGCUAAGUGGCGCAGCUAACCCAUUAAGUUAUUCGCCUGGGAGUACGGCCGCAAGUAAA